rnacentral:rRNA from 1 species
UACGAAGGGGGCUAGCGUUGUUCGGAAUUACUGGGCGUAAAGGGCGCGUAGGCGGCCCGCUAAGUCGAACGUGAAAUCCCCAGGCUCAACCUGGGGACUGCGUCCGAUACUGGCAGGCUUGAAUCCGGGAGAGGGAUGUGGAAUUCCAGGUGUAGCGGUGAAAUGCGUAGAUAUCUGGAGGAACACCGGUGGCGAAGGCGGCAUCCUGGACCGGUAUUGACGCUGAGGCGCGAAAGCUAGGGGAGCAAACGGG